rnacentral:siRNA from 1 species
CAGCUUCCUCUUCGGUUCACCUGA